rnacentral:misc_RNA from 1 species
GCGGCGACCGUUUCGACAUCGACAUCGCAGCCGGGGACGGCGCCCAUCUCACCGUGACCACCGCGGCCGCCGAAAAGGUCUAUCGCUCUCACGGGCCCGACGCCCAGGUGAACAUCGCGCUGCGCGCCGGGGCCGAUGCGCGGCUCUGCUGGCUGCCGCAGGAAACCAUCCUGUUCGAUCGGGCCCAAGUCGUCCGCCGGA